ensembl:lncRNA
AUGUUGAUUUUGUAUAAUAGUUAAUAAAACUAUUAGAAUGUGCCAAGAGAACUUUGUCUCUGUUUCUUACUUCUUUAAGAGUGUCGAUACAUGAAAUUUCCAUCACAUUAUCCUCUCUGUUAACUUCUGAACAACAGACGAGGGUUGGUCGUCCUGGUGACAUUCACAAGGGGUAAGGUCACUCUCCAGUCAACUAUGUUCACAUCCAGGUCACUCUCCAGUCAACUAUGUUCACAUCCAGGUCACUCUCCAGUCAACUAUGUUCACAUCCAGGUCACUCUCCAGUCAACUAUGUUCACAUCCAGGUCACUCUCCAGUCAACUAUGUUCACAUCCAGGUCACUCUCCAGUCAACUAUGUUCACAUCCAGGUCACUCUCCAGUCAACUAUGUUCACAUCCAGGUCACUCUCCAGUCAAUUAUGUUCACAUCCAGGUCACUCUCCAGUCAACUAUGUUUACAACUCAUUGAAGUCCAAGGGGAGUGAAUACUUAUGUUCAAGUAUAAACAGAAAAUUAUUGGUCUGUAAUGUCUUGAGUUUUCAGUAUAAUUAUUCUCAUUCAAUAGUUAUACCUCUCUAAAUCAGAGACAUCACAUUUUAAAUGUUGUGUUGUCACAUUUAAAAUAUUGUGUUGUCACAUCUUAAAUGUUGUGUUGUCACAAUUUAAAUGUUGUGUUGUCACAUCUUAAAUGUUGUGUUGUCACAUCUUAACAGUUGUGUCAGGUGGUGGGGAGAUGGUGAGGGGUGAUUGGGGGAAGAUAUCUGGUGGCCCGCAGACUUCACCCCCAAGCCUACUAUGGACUUCCCCAACGAGGGAGGUCUGAGCAUCAUUAAGCCGUUGAGUACUUGGGGAUAAAGGAGGAAGCAGGCAGCCCAAUUGGGGAAGACAAUGUGUGGUAUGGAGAGUGUGUGUAUUGACAGCCUGAUCUGUGUGAGUGCCUGUUAUGACCUGGACUGCCUGAUUACUGGUGUAACAAACUGGUUUGGACAAGGACACAAGUUUUGGAUGAGGUCCUGGGUUUUAGAUGAGGACCGGGGGUUUUGGAUGAGGACCUGGAUAAAGGACAACGAACGAUGAGGACGGUGAAUUGGUUGAUGAAUUCCUCUUUAUUUUCUCCCCCACUGUGUACAAACACCUCUAAUAAACACCCCAACUGCAUUCUGGUCCUGCUUUCUGUGCUGCUGUUUUUGACCUUGGUGACAUGGAAACACCACACCCCUGAGCCUGCUACACUGUAUAACUAAUCUCUUAAUAGAAAUCUAAAUGUCUACUGUUUCAUACCUUUAUAUAUAAUAAGGGGCUAUUUCAUCAGCCAUCUAUAUUUUUAGGAAAUUAGGAACCAUCCUUUAAAACCCCAAAGCCUCAGACAUUUGAUACAGUUUCUAGGUAGGAAACCUGAAGUGUGAAUGUAUCUCUGGGGGUUUUAGAAAACAGGUGUCACUACCUUGGGUUAUAAGGGUGUGAGCUACUCCUUAUUGGCUCAAUGGUGUAAAACCAGAUAGUGUGAUCUUGAAUUGUGAGGAAUAAUGGUGUUGUUUUAGUGGGGGUUUACAGAAAUGCUUUACUGGGGGUUUACAGAAAUGCUUAAUUGAGGGUUUACAGAAAUGUUUUACUGGGGGUUUACAGUAAUGCUUUAUUGGAGGAUUACAGAAAUGCUCUAUUGGGGGUUUACAGAAAUGUUUUACUGGGGGUUUACAGAAAUGCUUUAUUGGAGGAUUACAGAAAUGCUAUACUGGGGGGUUACAGAAAUGCUUAAUUGGGGGUUUACAGAAAUGCUUUACUGGGGGUUUACAGAAAUGCUUAAUUGGGGGUUUACAGAAAUGUUUUACUGGGGGUUUACAGUAAUGUUUUACUGGGGGAUUACAGAAAUGUUUUACUGGGGGUUUACAGAAAUGCUUUAUUGGAGGAUUACAGAAAUGCUAUACUGGGGGGUUACAGAAAUGCUUAAUUGGGGGUUUACAGUAAUGUUUUACUGGGGGAUUACAGAAAUGUUUUACUGGGGGGUUACAGAGACUAUUAGUUCCCCACAGACGUCCUAUUAACUAUUAAUACCCUUGAACUUCAUGACAGAAGACAUGCAGGUGAAGACACUCAUGUUGCUCUUCCAAAGGGCCCGCUGCUUCACAGGAAACCUCAGGGACUCAGUCCUGACAUGGGUUCAGUCUGAGACCAAAUCCAUACAUGAUGUUAAAGAGCUGAUUUACAGGCUGUAAUUGCAAGUCAUUUGGCACGUUCUCAUUGAUGGUACAUCAGCUGAUUUAGCAGAGCUCAGAUGCUGUUGGUGAAGUGUGUUUUUUCAUAGCGUUAAACAAAUUGUGCAACAGGAUUACUCAGAAGGUGUGAAUUUGGAAGUUUUCAUUCAGUCACACUGAUCAGUUCCCCUGACAGGAAUGUUUCCCCGCGACAAACAAGAAUCUGAAGGUCCUACAAAGCCCCAGGUUUGUGUAAAGACCUAAUGUCUUGGUUCCAGAUACCACAGCACACCUUCAGAGGUCGGGUGGAAUCCAUGCCUCUAUGGGUCAGGGCUGUUUUGACGGGCAAAAGGGGACCUACACAAUAUUAGGUAGGUGGUCAUAAUGUUGUCUGAUUGGUGUAUAUCCAUGCAGGGUAAUGUGUACAUUUGUCAUUUUCAAAUAUGUAAAGCAAAAAGUGUUAAAAAAAAAGCUGACUUUUACAAAUAUUGCUGGUUUAAGGUACCACAUUAGCAUACGUUUCUGGCUCCAUCUCUACUCACUUUAUUUCAGAGAUGAAUUCAACUUCAGUCUGUUCCUGGACAACAAAUCCACAAUUCAAAACCCAAACAGCAGCAGAAUAAAACAUUUAGUGUGAAGAUUAAAUUAAAGCAGGGAAAGAAAAGUCUCUGCUACACUGUAAAAUGAAAUGCUUUAUCAGAGUUCCCCUCACAUAAUUUUCUACUUGUACUUUUAUCUAUUACAGAGACUGAUAAAAACAACAUUAAUGCAGCCUUGAAAACAUUGAUCAGAUGAUACAUUCCACAGCCUAAUACCCACCUUCACCCCAUCCAAACAAAAUCUUGGGUUGUGUUCAUCAUGAUUUGUAACGGUUAUAGAUCACUUACGCAUAUAUGUUCAUUCACUACAUACUCUGUUAAGAACUAAAAAUACAUUAUUAUUACACCUUUCCUUCCUCAGAUACAUUUUCUUUCUCAGAUCCACAUCCCUUCUCACAAACCUGGAUAUGAAGAGCCAGCAUCUGUAGUGGCAUGUUUUGGUUGCACAUUUGACAUGUUGGUUUUGGCAUUUCUUCGAAUACUCUGGAAUGUGCAGGGACUGGAUGAAGAUCAAGGUCCUCUUGUAGAGGAACAAUGUACAGGAUUCAGUCUUGAUCGGGGAUCCUGUGUAUCCUUUUGAAUCCGGCGGAAUCACAAUCAACCGUUUUUAACAUUUCC